UGGGCGACUGUGUACCGCAAAACAGUUCCGUAGGUGAACCUGCGGAAGGAUCAUU
rnacentral:rRNA from 1 species